UUUUCUUUCCCAGUCUCUUGACACAUCUCUGUUGAUGAUGUCUUUCUAGAGAGAGAAGGAAGGCCAAUUACAUUCCCCUUUGUGGAUGAACUGAAUCAGCCAUCCAGGUGUGUUUUAAAAAACAAUCAAAACGCUGGAAAUUUCUCUCUGCUUCCCCCCAGUUAACAUUGUCUUGGAUAGAACCGGUUUAAAUGAAAAGAACAUGGAAAGUCCGAUGAAGCGUGGCACUCAUUUGCUUUCACUGUUGUGCUUCAGCAUCAGGCAAUAUGCUUCAGGACAAGGUUGAACAGCGCUGCUAUCAGGAGGAGAUUCUUGACUUGUUCCUGAUCAUAAUCGCUGAAUCAUUAAGCAUGAAACCUGCUAUAUAUUUUUGUUGGAGGAUUAUUACCUUGAGAGUCAUUUUUUUCUUUUCUGAUUUUGUAUAAAUUUUCAUUAUGAAAGGCUAUUAAAUUUUAUCAAACACUU